ACAACUUUAUAAUGAAGCUACUAAUACUAUUGUGUACUUUGCUCCCUCUGAUUCAUGGAAAAGCGCUCCAAGACGAAGACCCUCCAGAAGGUCGAUUGCUUCGGGAAAAACGUGCGCCCCAACUAUUGUGGCCUCCGCAUUCAUCAUCAUCGGACCUUUCCGAUUUAGGUGA